rnacentral:rRNA from 1 species
AGGACGAACGCUGGCGGCGUGCCUAAUACAUGCAAGUCUAAGGGGGUGUACAUCCUUCGGGGUGUGCAUCACUGGCGCACGGGUGAGUAACGCGUAAGUUAUCUGCCCCUGGGUCUGGCAUAACCUCGGGAAACCGGGACUAAUUCCAGAUGAUACCGAAAGGUCAAAGCUUCGGCGCCCAGGGAUGAGCUUGCGUCUGAUUAGCUUGUUGGCGGGGUAAUGGCCCACAAGGCUUCGAUCAGUAGCCGGUCUGAGAGGAUGAUCGGCCACAUUGGGACUGAGACACGGCCCAGACUCCUACGGGAGGCAGCAGUAAGG